rnacentral:rRNA from 1 species
UACGUAGGGUGCGAGCGUUGUCCGGAAUUAUUGGGCGUAAAGGGCUCGUAGGCGGUUUGUCGCGUCGGGAGUGAAAUCCACUGGCUUAACUGGUGGCUUGCUUUCGAUACGGGCAGACUGGAGGUAUGCAGGGGAGAACGGAAUUCCUGGUGUAGCGGUGAAAUGCGCAGAUAUCAGGAGGAACACCGGUGGCGAAGGCGGUUCUCUGGGCAUGUCCUGACGCUGAGGAGCGAAAGUGUGGGGAGCGAAUAGG